GCUGGGCGCGGUGGCGCGUGCCUGUAGUCCCGGCUACUCAGGAGGCUGAGGCUGGAGGAUCGCUUGAGCGCAGGAGUUCUGGGCUGUAGUGCGCUAUGACAAUCGGGUGUCCGCGCUAAGUUCGGCAUCAAUAUGCUGACCUGCUGGGAGUCGGGGACCACCAGGUUGCCUAAGGAGGAGUGAACUGGCCAGGCUGGAGAUGGAGCAGGUCAAAACUCCCGUGCUGGUCAGUAGUGGGAUCGCACCUGUGAAUAGCCACUGCACUCCAGCCUGGGCAACAUAGCAAGACCCUCUCUCU
rnacentral:SRP_RNA from 1 species